rnacentral:rRNA from 1 species
CGGUGGAGUAUGUGGUUUAAUUCGAUGCAACGCGAAGAACCUUACCUGGUCUUGACAUCCCGGAGACCCUUAGGAAACUAGGGGUGCUCCAUCUGGAAGAAUUUGGAGACAGGUGCUGCAUGGCUGUCGUCAGCUCGUGUCGUGAGAUGUUGGGUUAAGUCCCGCAACGAGCGCAACCCUUGCCUUUAGUUGCCAGCAGUUCGGCUGGGCACUCUAAAGGGACUGCCGGUGUUAAACCGGAGGAAGGUGGGGAUGACGUCAAGUCCUCAUGGCCUUUAUGACCAGGGCUACACACGUACUACAAUGGCCGAUACAAAGGGCAGCGACACUGCGAGGUGAAGCCAAUCCCGUAAAAUCGGUCUCAGUCCGGAUUGGAGUCUGCAACUCGACUCCAUGAAGUUGGAAUCGCUAGUAAUCGUGGAUCAGCAUGCCACGGUGAAUACGUUCCCGGGCCUU